UGUUUGUUGACUAGCUCGAGUACUGCAUAUUGUGAGCUGCCGAUUUAAUAAGACAAAUUAUCAAUAUAAACAUACACUAUACAAUAUGAAUUCAACAACUUGUCCCGGUACUAGAAAAAUAAUCUCUCAUGUGAACCUUAUGCAUUUGAAUAACUAUACAAACUAUAUUUGUUAAUGCGAGCGAAACUCUAGUGUUGGACCUCACUAGGGAAAUGAGAAAAAGAAAACAUAAUUUUAUUUGUAAAUGUGUAAGUAAAAAAGAAAUCUUAUCAUUAGGACAAGGAUUUGUAUAGUAUGAUGCUACUAUACAAAUCCUUGAUUAGGACUAUGGCUAUAAAUUAUUUGGUACAAAAGUCAAAAUACAAUAUCGUUUGUAUAGACAUUAUUUUCCUACAUAAAAAUUAAUUUCAUAUCUAAAUGCAAAAUUAAAAUCUUUGUUCUUUAAACAUUCCUAAAAGAAUACAAUGUUGAAAGUUCAGGCUAGAACUAAAUACAUUAAGAUGUCACUUUACAAUCCAAAUUUUUUGGUGUUAAAAUUCCUACGCCUACAUGUACAUGUAUUAAACAUACGCAAGAAGACAAUCAAUUCCUGUUAUACUUUUAUGCCUAGGGAAUUAUUGUACAUACAAUAUACAUGAAUACAACUCAUAAGCAUAAAAAUAUACACAUAAAGAAAAUCAUUAUAAUGAUAAUUAAUGGUCCUAACUACACAAUAAUUUUGGGCAACUAAAUUAGACUCAACUCAAAUAUGCAUUUUGACGUGCAGACAGACUAGAGCCAGCAUUUAAUUUGUAAUGCAAUACAAUACAAUACAAUAAUCUUAUAUACAUAUAUGCAAACAUCAUAUAACACAGUAAUAGUAUAUAUAUACUAAUUUUAGUAGUUUUAAUACACACAACUUGGUGAACAAAAAAAAUAUACAUCAGGCAACAAUAGUAAUAAAUCUAUUAACAUCCAAGAACAUUCCAAAUGUUAAAUAUCAUAUUUUGAAUACCCGUCAUAAACAGACACUCGCCGCCCAGGAAAAACCAAAUAGUUUGGAAACCUGCGUCACGGAGCAAUGCAAGAACUGUUUCUGGGUAAUGAUGCCGUACUCCAUCAUGAUUAUAAUUAUAUAAAAAGACAAAUUUUUAUACAUAAAAGGAAGUUUUAACUGUAUGAUGUCUACAGCUAGAAUGACCACCUAGACAAUUUUUUCACGAACCCACGAAAAACAAAUUAGCAUAACAAAACAUUAGGUCACCUGACCGAUCAAAUCAUACAUCAUUGACACAUAUAAAAUAUGAGAGAAACUUUAAGACAGUAUUUUUUCGCUAUACUGCGAAAGGCUGAAAAAAAAUGAAUAUGUAGUGAAAAAAUGUUGGAAACCUGCUUUGAAACUAAUUGCUUGGAAGAACUGUGUCAGGAGGUAUACUUUGGACAGUAUAAAAAAAAGGAAAACUAAUCAAAACAAAAUACACGAUCAUGUUAAAAUAUAUAAUUUAGCGUAUAUAAAAAGAAACUUUACACUCUGGGUAGAAAGUGAAGUUUUUCAAAAUCAUGCUACAAAAUGCCUAAAUAACAACUUAUCUGCUUUCACUAUAUCAAAAAAUAUCAAAUUGCAACUACAUUUUUUGCCACUGAAGUUUUUUUUUUUGUCACUGUAGUAUAUCGUCUUACAAUUAAAAGGAAGAAAAGGAUUUAAUUACAUGAAGGAUAAGGUCACUAAGGUAUCAUUAGGAAUAUACUAGUUGUACAAAAUACAUUGCAGUAUUGUUGAUUCAUUCUUAUUUGCUGCAUACCAGCACUCAGUCUGGUUUUUGGAUUAAAGCUAGAAAAUGACAAUUUCAGGCUGGGCAAGCACAUUUUGUGCGGCACAUGUCACAUAAGCAAAUAAAUAAUUCUGAUACAAUACAAACAUAGCUAUACAUUUAAAAGGGUUUCAAUGCAUCAACAAAACAUACUUCUAUACAUUGUGUUUGUUUUAACAAAUGAAUUAUAGACUUGAAUAUAGUUUGUGGAACCCUAAUCUCUUUAUUUCCUUGGCCUCAUUGUGGUUGAAAUUAACUUUCACAGAAACAAAAACUAUUUUCAACAUAAUUAGGAUGCUACUGGCAAAGUUUUGAUAAUAUUUCACUUUCUGGCACAUAAGCAUCAACUAGAAACACUUUUCAUCUUUAGGGUCAUUAAGGGCACUUAUGGAACCUAAUCCUUUCACACUGGCAAUUUAUUUUAAAAAAAAUGUUUCUCAAAAUGUGUGAUUUUGAAAAAUAUUAUGCACAUUGACAUAUGAUGUACAUUAAAAUAACUGUGAAAAAUAUACCUAUUGAUAUUUUUGGAGAUUUUGCAUUUUUGUAUUUUGUUUUGUAAACAUACCACUUUUAAUUGGCAGAGUAAACUAGUGCAUCUUUUUGGUUGGGGUUCAAUAGUGUAAAGAAAAGAAGUUCAAGCCUCAAAAGCCAACUUUCUGGAAAUCCAUUUUUUAAUACAUGACCCGAAGACUGAAAAUAAAAAUCCUGUUUUUGUCAAGUAAACAAAUACCAAUUCCUAGUAUGCAGCUAUAAACAUUGGAAAACUUUUGAAUUCAUUCUAAAAUGAUUAAUCCUUUCACUGCCAUACUACCUUUUUUUCUUUUUCUUUUUCAAGAUUUUCUAAUCUAAAGCUUACUAGGGAGAAAAAUAACAAAUUUCGUAAUUGAUCAUCUCAAAUCUACAAUUUGAAUUUAAACUGAAAAUUAUCACAACUUUUUUCUUCAUUUAUUAAAAUCAAAUGUUUAAAGUAUAUAUGAGGUUCAUAAUUCAAAACUGUUCAAAGAAAUAAAAAGGGUUUCCUUUUUCACUUAAACUACUUCAUAACAAAAUAAUUUCUAGUAAAAUCUAUUUGGUGCCACAAGUAAUUAUUUUAUUUCAAAGAUAUCAUGAUUUUUCAAGACCACAAAUAUUAAUUAACAAACUGAUAUGAUUACAAAGUCAGUUCUUAUGAAUUCAUUAACUUAAGAACCAAUGAUUCUACCCCAUCCUCUGACAAUUUAACUUAAAACAAGAAUGUGUCCAUAGUACACGGAUCAAUACUCACAAUAUAAUUUUCCAUGUUCAGUGGACCGUGAAAUUAGGAUCAAAAGUUUAAUUUGGCAUUAAAAUUAGAAAGAUCAUAUCAUGGGGAGCAUGUGUACUAAGUUUCAAGUUGAAUGGACUUUAACUUCAUCAAAAACUACCUUGACCAAAAACUUUAACCUGAACUUCACACUUUCAUUUUCUAUGUUCAGUAGGGGGUGAAAUUGGGGUCAAAACUUUAAUUUGGCAUUAAAAUUAGAAAGAUCAUAUCAUUUGGGACUAGGGAUACUAAGUUUUAAGUUUAUUGGACUUCAACUUCAUCAAAAACUACCUUGACCAAAAACUUAAACCUAAAGCGGGACAGACAGACGAACAGACGAACGAAAAAACAGACAAACAGGUGAAUGGACGCACAGACCAGAAAACAUAAUGCCCCUCUACUAAUGUAGGUGGGGCUUUUAAAUUAAUUUAUUGUAUUUUACAUUUAAAUAAAAAAAAAUUGAUAAUAAAAAAAAACAAGUUUUAUAUUACUGUGCUUACAAGCUAUUUCAUUAUUUUAGUAAAAUAAAAACGUCAUUUUUGGAUGUUUAUAUUAUCUAAUUUAAAUAUAUCAUUGGUGAUUUCUUCAAAUUGGC
rnacentral:lncRNA from 1 species